CCUGGCGGCAGUAGCGCGGUGGUCCCACCUGACCCCAUGCCGAACUCAGAAGUGAAACGCCGUAGCGCCGAUGG
rnacentral:rRNA from 3 species